AUGGACCAGCUCCUGAAGAGACGUCUGUGGAGCUCUUCUGGGCCACCUCUUAGGCAACAAACCAUCCUGGGACAUCUUGCAGACAAGGAAACAGGCUUCAAGAGGCGACGGUGCCUCUUGAAGGGCAGGGCACACAGCCAGAAGCCACCUUCUGCAUGGCUCCCACCGCAGCCAAGUCUCCAAGGAAGCUGGGUUUUUACAGGGGCAGGUCCUCAAGGUGGAUACCCCUUUGCUAAAGCCUCUGCUCCAGCAACCCGCAAGCAGCCACUUGCCCUAGGCUUCAGGCAGCUGCCCUCCCCUUGCUGGCCUCUGGACUGUUUAGUAUGCAGAAGGACCAGCCCUGCAAGGCCACCGUAAAUCCUGCCCCUGUCCUACAGCAGAUCAAUCGCCAAUCGGCUCCAAAUCCCCUAGAUGUCUCAGCAGCUUGGCCCAGCUGUAGGAGCCAUGGCCAUGGCUGGCUCUAGAUGCUGCUGGCUACAUAUAUUGAACUUGAAGCAUCGGAUUACAUGUUUGUUCAAUAGCAAUAAACUCCCAAGUUUUAUGGGGUCAUAAAACCGCUGUCUCGGCUCCCACUUAGGUGGUAUGUAAUGUACACAGGAUGGUUUCCCCGCUAAUGGGGCGGCACAGGUGAUGUGGGGCUAUUAGCUGGAAACAUCACAUCUGCAUUUCCCAAAUUCUCAUAAAUAAGGUGGCCCCACUGGAGUGCACCAGACCCAGCCUUGAAGUUCGAGGAGAGGAAGAAAGACAGAGUGGGUUGGAGCCAUGAGGAAUGAUUAGAGAGGGAGGGAGACCGGGCAGGGUGGGGGGAAGGCAGGGGAUGUCAGGAGAAAGGAGGGGGCAGGGCUUAGUCCAGAUGCCCACUGCCCUUGAGCACAUCCCUGCCCAGCCUCUGGCUUAGGAGGACUCAGAGGACAGGCACCUCCUCCCAGGGUCCUGGGCCCCAGCCUUGCCCUCUAGAGAGGGCAGUUGAGACACCUGGGGAGCUUGGAUGAAGGGCUGAACUGUGGACGGUGGACAGAGUGGAGGGAGCCAAGUGUGAAACAGCACCCAGGUGGGGCCACAAUGUUCGGGUCUCCACAGACCCCACAGGGAGUCAAAGAGGAAGACAGCAGAAACAUGGAGGCCGAGGCCAAAGCACAGAGAUGGCCAGGUGACCUUAAGCAGGCCGAGGCUGGUGUGUGCAUUUGGGGAGGUGCCCCUCUGUGGCCCAGGGUCAGGGUGAGGCACUACUGGGGGUGGAGAUGGAAGAGGCAGCUUACGAGGUAAUGAGUUCCCAUCUAGGGGUAGGGCCACAGUGAGAGCCCGAGGGAGGCGUCGUGUGAGGGCCCUCAGCUCUACCCUGGACCCGUGGUUACCAUGUGCAAAACUGCUCAGGUCCUGGUGCCAAGCACCCCAUAGGAUUGUCCGGGAUCCCAACGGGAAGACACCCAGACAGGACUGGGAGAGGCAGCCAUGCAGCCAGGAGCUGGGCAGGGGGCAGGCCCGGGGAGGUGCAGAGACAGGCAGUCGAACUCUGACAGUCAACCCCAACUUGCUCGUGGCCAGGUGAGAGUGAGGGGCCACACUGCCCAUCCCCUGGGGUAGCCCAGCUGGUGGCACUGGCACCUGGGACAUGGCCAGUGGCCUUUUAGCUCUGGCCAGGCUCUUCUCAGUGCUGGAGUUGAGCACGUAGAUGACUUUGCCCUGAUCCUUGUAACUUUGCUAUCGACCCAGGUCCUUAGAAAUGCAUCGAUUUGCCCAAAUCAAUAUUUAUUGUGGCUUCAAAGACUGGGGGUUGGAGAGGGGUGCCUGCGGGCUGAUGAAUGGAGUUAAGGCAGCCGGGGAGCAGUCACCCCCACCUCCCACCCAGCAGGCCUCACCAGCCUUUGCUCCUGCCCUGCCCCCACCCAGCCCCCGCCUCCACCCUGAGAGCCCUCCGGGGACAGCCCACCCAGGUGUGAACAAAGGAUGAGCUGGCGGAGGUCACCGGCACCCAGGCGACCCUGCCCACUCCUGUGCCUCCGACACUGAGUGUCCUGCCCUCUGGGGCUAUUUGUUUCCUGGAGGCUCGAAGUGAGUUCCUGGGAACCAAGCCCAUCCGGGGUUAAUUUCCUAGUGGAAGUCCCUCCCUCAGGAAGUCUAGAAGUCAGGGGUGUUGGAGGAGAGCCCCUCUGGCAUCCCCACCUUCCGGGACACACAGGGCCUAUAGGUGGGCUCCUGUCUCA
rnacentral:lncRNA from 1 species